rnacentral:misc_RNA from 1 species
GGAUAAGAGUCGCACCUUGUCUUAGAGUGAGAUAGCCCUUCUUCUCUUACGAUAUUUCUAGUUGGAUCUCCCUCUUCCCUUUCUCCUUGUUGAAGAGAAAGAGGAUAGAGCUUAGCUCCUCUUCCUUCCAGUUCUUCAGUUCCCCAUCAUCUUCCUUGAUCAGCACAUCGACAUCAGGGAUUUCAUCAAGUGUAUUCACAGUCAGG